rnacentral:lncRNA from 1 species
UUGGACUCUCGCCUGUGCUCUCUGGGGGAUCCACGGGAUAGUCCCCCGAUUCUAGGAACUGGCAGGGGGAAGCAAGCCUAAAGAAACAUCUAGUGAAGCUUCAGGCUUGCAAUUGCCCCAGUGGGCCUCUGAGACACUCUCUCAACCUUAUCUGAACCCGUGAGAGGCCAGUUCGAAGUGUGAGAACACUGCUCCACCUUGGAGUUGCCUUUGUCUUGGUUCCUGCCUUCUCAGAGAGCCGUGCUGAGAACAGGAGUCCCUGCGAGGCCCGGGAUGAAGAUCUUCUCUCUGGAUCCGGAAGAAUCAUAAUAUUUAUCAACUCUGUAAACUCUCGGGAAAGCACUUGUGCUAGCAAGGUAACCUGGCCUUUGUGAAUUCAUGCACUAGUCUCCAUUUCUGGGAAGAGCUUCAGCACCAGCAGCACAUACCACUGUGAGGGCAAGUGAAAAAGUAUCACUUUGGGUAGAUGGAUAUAAUCCUCCCGUAAAGCUUCAUUUGCAAGAAAAC